UGAGGAUGAUAGUGUUAUUUUGAUGAUUAACAAGCAAUUAUCUAGAGUAUAUUAUAAGUUAAAUUGAUACUUCAUUUAUAAGUUCAUUACUUUCAGUAUAUUUGUAUGAAUUGAUAUAGAUACAUGUCUUUGUUUAUUUGAAUGAAUCUAACCUUGAGAUGCAGCAAAGUGUAGAUUAAGUCGACCCAAAGGAUGAUUGGGUCGACCCCGGCACAUCAAGAAGUCAUUUGGCACACUUCUGCAAAAUUGGAACAGAUGAACAGUGAGUUGGGUCGACCCAA
rnacentral:lncRNA from 1 species